GGGAAGCCGUUAAGCCGGCCGCCUGGGGAGUACGGCCGCAAGGCUGAAACUUAAAGGAAUAGGCGGGGGAGCACCACAAGGGGUGGAACCUGCGGCUCAAUUGGAGUCAACACCUGGAAGCUUACCGGGGGAGACCGCAGGAUGACGGCCAGGCUAACGACCUUGCCCGACUCGCGGAGAGGAGGUGCAUGGCCGUCGCCAGCUCGUGUUGUGAAAUGUCCGGUUAAGUCCGGCAACGAGCGAGACCCCCACCCCUAGUUGGUAUCCUGGGGUCCGCCCCAGGACCACACUAGGGGGACUGCCGCCGUAAGGCGGAGGAAGGAGGGGGCCACGGCAGGUCAGCAUGCCCCGAAACCCCCGGGCCGCACGCGGGUUACAAUGGCAGGGACAGCGGGAUCCUGCCCCGAAAGGGGUGGGCAAUCCCUAAACCCUGCCUCAGUUGGGAUCGAGGGCUGCAACUCGCCCUCGUGAACGAGGAAUCCCUAGUAACCGCAGGUCACCAACCUGCGGUGAAUACGUCCCUGCUCCUUGCACACACCGCCCGUCA
rnacentral:rRNA from 1 species